rnacentral:rRNA from 1 species
CGUAGGGUGCGAGCGUUAAUCGGAAUUACUGGGCGUAAAGCGUGCGCAGGCGGUUUAGUAAGACAGGUGUGAAAUCCCCGGGCUCAACCUGGGAACUGCGCUUGUGACUGCUAAGCUAGAGUACGGCAGAGGGGGUGGAAUUCCACGUGUAGCAGUGAAAUGCGUAGAGAUGUGGAGGAACACCAAUGGCGAAGGCAGCCCCCUGGGUCGAUACUGACGCUCAUGCACGAAAGCGUGGGUAGCAAACAGGAUUAGAUACCCUGGUAGUCCACGCCCUAAACGAUGUCAACUAGGUGUUGGGAGGGUAAAACCUUUUAGUACCGGAGCUAACGCGUGAAGUUGACCGCCUGGGGAGUACGGCCGCAAGGUUA